UACAGAGGUCCCAAGCGUUGUUCGGAUUCACUGGGCGUAAAGGGUGCGUAGGCGGUCGGGGUAAGUCUGAUGUGAAAUCUCACAGCUUAACUGUGAAACUGCAUUGGAUACUAUCCGGCUCGAGGAAUGGAGGGGAGACUGGAAUACUUGGUGUAGCAGUGAAAUGCGUAGAUAUCAAGUGGAACACCAGUGGCGAAGGCGAGUCUCUGGACAUUUUCCUGACGCUGAGGCACGAAAGCCAGGGGAGCAAACGGGG
rnacentral:rRNA from 1 species